UCAAUUUUCGGCCCCGUAGACAAAGAGAUACGCGACGCGUGAUGGAUGCGCGUCCAGAUCCAGCGGCCUCAGUCACCAUCACCACCCGCACCACACACGAGCAUACGCGACGACUGACAAGGCGAGGGGAGCACUCGGCGGCGAUGGGCGGCGGCGGCGCACAUGGCGGCACCACCUACAAGGGCUACACCAUCCCGCACAACAAGCGCUGGCACACCGUCGCCGGCAAGGGCCUCUGCGCCGUGAUGUGGUUCUGGGUUUUCUACAGGGCUAAGCAGGAUGGUGCUACGCUCUUGGGUUUGCGUCAUCCUUGGGAUGGACAUGAUGACCACUCUCAUGGUCAUGGACACGGGCAUGAGGCAUCAUCAUCGUCAUCUUCACAUUAAGUUCCUUACUGGCUGCGGACGAUGCUUGGCAUGUUCCAACAGCUAAAGUUUGAUUAAUAUGCUGUGGAAAAGAAUCUGGUGCACGUUGAUGUUCUUUAUGAUCUGUUGUUCAGUACAUUGCUCUGCUUCGUUGCUACGUUAAGAAUAUAUAUAUACUAACAUCAGAAAAAUGUAUGUAUUUUAUGGGCUUAAUAGAUUCAGAACUGGGAAGAUGAAUGGGCAGCUAUGCUGGUGUUUUCCUUUUU